GACGAACGCUGGCGGCGUGCCUAAUACAUGCAAGUCGAGCGCAGGAAACUGACGGAACUCUUCGGAGGGAAGGCAGUGGAAUGAGCGGCGGACGGGUGAGUAACACGUAAGGAACCUGCCUCAAGGAUUGGGAUAACUCCGAGAAAUCGGAGCUAAUACCGGAUAGUUCAACGGACCGCAUGGUCCGUUGAUGAAAGGCGCUCCGGCGUCACCUUGAGAUGGCCUUGCGGUGCAUUAGCUAGUUGGUGGGGUAACGGCCCACCAAGGCGACGAUGCAUAGCCGACCUGAGAGGGUGAUCGGCCACACUGGGACUGGGACACGGCCCAGACUCCUACGGGAGGCAGCAGUAGGGAAUCUUCCACAAUGGACGAAAGUCUGAUGGAGCAACGCCGCGUGAGUGAUGAAGGUUUUCGGAUCGUAAAACUCUGUUGUAAGGGAAGAACACGUACGAGAGGGAAUGCUCGUACCUUGACGGUACCUUACGAGAAAGCCACGGCUAACUACGUGCCAGCCGCCGCAGUAAGAC
rnacentral:rRNA from 1 species